GGCAUUUGCCUGCCUAAAAUCAGAACAAUGGUCCUUAAAUAUUUCUAAUAUAUAGAAAUAUGUCUGGUUCACUUGCAGUUGGAACUUGCUUUGACAAGGAAGUCUUAUUUGAAGAUUGUCUACCUACAAUUGAAGAGAAACUAUGCACCACUGACUGACAUGAGUAAAGAGGACUCUACAUGGCCUGUUUCUGUGCUCCCAGGAGUUCAACCACACAGUAUGAAAAAAAACCCAACCCAACUUUUGAUAUCCAAGCUCCUUUUACCCAUCGUUGCUGUGGAAAUGAACCCAGGAGGGAGAAUCUGUGAUGAGGGAUGUUAACAAGGAACAGAUGAUUACUAAAAUGGAGAUAAAAGCCAUCUUAUAGCUUGUCUGAUGCAGGAAAGAGCCCAAGGCUUAAACUGGGAAGUAACAUUAUUUAGCAAAAACUGAUUUUCAGAAAGGGUCAUCCCUGUGGUCUGCAUUAAUGACAUUAUCUCCCUGGAGAUCAUUAUCUGGUGAUUGCAUCCCGUCAUGGAUUGUUCUCAGUGACCUGAGUGCUACUGGAAAAUAUUAUUUUUGUAACACCUACUACAUCCCCAUCUCCUGUUGAACGUUUCUUUCCCCCUUUGGCUUGAUGCCCUGCUACAUUUUCUGCAGUCUGUUCUCUGUUAGAAAGACAGUUUGGUUUCCUGGGUUAUAGCUGCCUGGGGCUACUGCUUCUAUCAAUAUUGUCUCAUCUUUUCUGUAUCAGUAUUAUCUGAUGUGGUCUUAGAUGCUGCUAGCAAAUAAAUUACACAGUUGAUUCUUGAUGAUUUCUAGCACUUUGAUUUGAGUUAUAGCUUUUACAAACAUGUGAUCUCGCUCGGAGAGAGAGUUCUGACAACUUGUCAUUCCCAGAGUCUGUGACUCUCUUGUCUUAUAUUAAUUCAUGUUAUAAAGCCCACUCUUUUGGUGUUAAGUGAGAGUAUGAGCUACUGUAUUAACAUCCUCUACUGGUACUUCUUGGUUACAUGUGUCAAUAUUUUGCCAAGGGGCCUUACUCUUAGACACUUCUCCUUCCCACCUACGUUUUGUCAUUUCUGCUUUUUCCCUUGUGGUUUUCUGACAUCGCUACAGGAACUGCCUAUUCAGAUUUUACUCUGUUCUGCAAGUUGUUUUGUUUGUUUCAAAAUAUAGCUGAGAUGAAAAUUACAGGUAUUAAAAAGAAUUCAAAAAUCAA